CUUGCAAUUGGUCAAGGACGUAUUGUUACAUUGAUCAACUGGAUACGUCUUAUUCACGGCCCAAGACAGCCAUUUGGAUGCAAAGGGAUGAACAACAGAACAUUUGCUCCCGUCAGCUUCAUUCAGGUGCAUUGUUAAAUGGAGGCCCAUCUGGGAGAGCACAUGGCCUCUCCUCAAAUAAAGGCCAGAGAGUUCUCCCUGGUGACUUGGUCAAUAUCUCUCGCUCGGUCCAGAAGACCCAAAUCUAACACAGAAGGCCGGGUGCUUUACCUCAUCUCCAUUUGCAGAGCCAUGAUUUGCACAACUAGCUGCAGUGAUUCUCGCAUUACAACAGGAAAUCGGAAACAACUUUGGUGGCUGUACCGUGCAAUGUUCCGGCUGUGAAGAGAACCAGAUUGCAAGGAUGUUACCCUGAUCAUGAGGGGCUGCCUAAGGAGGAAGAAGAAGGAGGAAGGAACUGAGGCGACACAUCACUGACCAGGGAGCAGAAUGUAAAAAUCAAUGUCUUACUCACUACACCAUCCAGUUCCUUGGCAAAAAACUAUCAGGCAUGUUCCUUUCUUUCUUAAUCAAGGGGAAAAAGGUUGUUGGAUUUUAGUGCAAUUUCUGCAGCACGUGUGAAUGGGUAUGGGCAUAUUUCCUAAUCUAAAUGAAAGUAAUUGCAAAAUUUGGUUCUGUAGCCUCAGAUUUCCAAACCGUUUCAAUUACUAUCUUAAGAAGGGCAAGGUUAUUGUGUUUACUAGAAGGACAAAUAUUCAUGCAAGGAUUGUUGUUCUUGUCUGUUUUAUUAAUGCACAUAAGAGAAGAGGGUGCAGUCAGUAUGAUAUGCACCAUUUUCUCAGUGUCACUUGGGAGUGAUCAGUUUUUGAAACAAUCUCUGUCAAAUGUGAUGACUCGGGAA